UGUCAAGUUGAAUAAAAAUUUGUUGUUUAUUUGGUGAAGUUGAGAUAAAAUUGUUAUUUUAAACAAGAAAUUUACUCAAAAAAGGAGAAAUCAUGAAAAAGGUUAAACGUAGCGGUGUCCGUGAUGCCAUAUAUAAAGUUUUCAUUCGGUGUUUCUCAUAAUUUCAAGCUGAAAAACGAGAAAAAUAUUUGGAAAACGUUUACAGACGUACAGCAGAUUAUACCGGGGUUUCUGAAAGCACAGUACGCAGGAUAGUGGAGCAAGGGAGUAAAAAUGAAGGAGAAUAUCUACAAAAAAUAAAUAAAAAUAUGUAGUUUUCAAA